AACGAACGCUGGCGGCAUGCCUAACACAUGCCAGUCGAACGAGACCUUCGGGUCUAGUGGCGCCCGGGUGCGUAACGCGUGGGAACCUGCCCUUAGGUUCGGAAUAACUCCCCGAAAGGGGUGCUAAUACCGGAUAAUGUCUUCGGACCAAAGAUUUAUCGCCUUUGGAUGGGCCCGCGUUGGAUUCGCUAGUUGGUAGGGUAAAAGCCUACCACGGCGACGAUCCAUAGCUGGUCUGAGAGGAUGAUCAGCCACACUGGGACUGAGACACGGCCCAGACUCCUACGGGAGGCAGCAGUGGGGAAUAUUGGACAAUGGGCGAAAGCCUGAUCCAGCAAUGCCGCGUGAGUGAUGAAGGCCUUAGGGUUGUAAAGCUCUUUUAACCGGGAUGAUAAUGACAGUACCGGGAGAAUAAGCUCCGGCUAACUCCGUG
rnacentral:rRNA from 1 species